rnacentral:rRNA from 1 species
AACGUACGCUGGCGGCACGCCUAACACAUGCAAGUCGAACGCAGUAGCAAUACUGAGUGGCAGACGGGUGAGUAACAUGUGGGAAUCUGCCUUGUGGUUCAGGACAACAUUGGGAAACCGAUGCUAAUACUGGAUGAUGACUUCGGUCCAAAGAUUUAUCGCCCAGGGGUGAGCCCGCGUAGGAUUAGCUAGUUGGUGAGGUAAAGGCUCACCAAGGCGACGAUCCUUAGCUGGUCUGAGAGGAUGAUCAGCCACACUGGGACUGAGACACGGCCCAGACUCCUACGGGAGGCAGCAGUGGGGAAUAUUGGACAAUGGGCGAAAGCCUGAUCCAGCCAUGCCGCGUGAGUGAAGAAGGCCUUAGGGUUGUAAAGGCUCUUUUCAGCGGGGAAGAUAAUGACGGUACCCGCAGAAGAAGUCCCGGCUAACUUCGUG